UAAUGAGGGGAACUCAGGGAACUGAAACAUCUAAGUACCUGAAGGAAGAGAAAGAAAUUCGAUUCCGUAAGUAGCGGCGAGCGAACGCGGAUUAGCCCAAACCAAUAAAGUUUUCUUUGUUGGGGUUGCGGACAUAUCAUAACGAAGAGGUAUCGUAAUUGAAGAGGUUUGGAAAGACCCACCACAGAAGGUAAUAGUCCUGUAUGUUAAACGAGAAGACUUUAGAUAUGAUCCAGAGUACCACGG
rnacentral:rRNA from 1 species